rnacentral:rRNA from 1 species
GAUGAACGCUGGCGGCGUGCCUAAUACAUGCAAGUCGAGCGGACAGAUGAGGAUCUUGCUCCUCUGACGUUAGCGGCGGACGGGUGAGUAACACGUAGAUCACCUACCUAUAAGACUGGGAUAACUUCGGGAAACCGGAGCUAAUACCGGAUAAUCUAUUGAACCGCAUGGUUCAAUCGUGAAUGACGGUUUUGCUGUCACUUCUAGAUGGUUCCGCGCCGCAUUAGCUGGUUGUUAAGGUACCGGCUUACCACGGCAACGAUGCGUAGCCGACGUGAGAGGGUGAUCGGCCACACUGGAACUGAGACACGGUCCAGACUCCUACGGGAGGCAGCAGUAGGGAAUCGGCCGCAAUGGGCGAAAGCCUGACGCAGCAACGCCGCGUGAGUGAUGAAGGUCUUCGGAUCGUAAAACUCUGUUAUUAGGGAAGAACAAAUGUGUAAGUAACUAUGCACGUCUUGACGGUACCGAAUCAGAAAGCCACGGCUAACUACGUG